CGUUCCAUGGCCAAACUGGUCAAGGCAUUGCCUAUUAUAUAGGCGAAGGUGCGGGUUCGAGUCCCACGGGAACGG
rfam:Operophtera brumata OBRT01_Sc12595, whole genome shotgun sequence.